AGUAUACCACAUUAAAAUACCGGUUCCCAUACGAUCACAGAAGUUAAGCAACAUUGAGCCUUGUCAGUACCUAGAUGGGUUACCGUUUGGAAAUACCAGAUGCCGUAA